GCAGCCCGCGGUAAUACGUAGGGUGCGAGCGUUAAUCGGAAUUACUGGGCGUAAAGCGUGCGCAGGCGGUUAUGUAAGACAGAUGUGAAAUCCCCGGGCUCAACCUGGGAACUGCCUUUGUGACUGCAUAGCUAGAGUACGGCAGAGGGGGAUGGAAUUCCGCGUGUAGCAGUGAAAUGCGUAGAUAUGCGGAGGAACACCGAUGGCGAAGGCAAUCCCCUGGGCCUGUACUGACGCUCAUGCACGAAAGCGUGGGGAGCAAACAGGAUUAGAUACCCUGGUAGUCCACGCCCUAAACGAUGUCAACUGGUUGUUGGGUCUUCAUUUACUCAGUAACGAAGCUAACGCGUGAAGUGA
rnacentral:rRNA from 1 species